UGAACGCUGGCGGCAUGCCUAACACAUGCAAGUCGAACGGUAACGCGAGAGCUUGCUCUUGGCGACGAGUGGCGGACGGGUGAGUAAUGCUUAGGAAUCUGCCCAGUAGUGGGGGACAACUCGGGGAAACUCGAGCUAAUACCGCAUACGACCUACGGGUGAAAGCAGGGGAUCUUCGGACCUUGCGCUAUUGGAUGAGCCUAAGUCGGAUUAGCUUGUUGGUGAGGUAAAGGCUCACCAAGGCGACGAUCCGUAGCUGGUCUGAGAGGACGAUCAGCCACACUGGGACUGAGACACGGCCCAGACUCCUACGGGAGGCAGCAGUGGGGAAUAUUGGACAAUGGGGGAAACCCUGAUCCAGCAAUGCCGCGUGUGUGAAGAAGGCCUGCGGGUUGUAAAGCACUUUCAGUAGAGAAGAAAAGCCUACGGUUAAUAACCGUGAGUCUUGACGUAACCUACAGAAGAAGCACCGGCUAACUCCGUGCCAGCAGCCGCGGUAAU
rnacentral:rRNA from 1 species